rnacentral:rRNA from 1 species
CGCCCUUAGAGUUUGAUCCUGGCUCAGGAUGAACGCUAGCUACAGGCUUGACACAUGCAAGUCGAGGGGAAACGACAUCGAAAGCUUGCUUUUGAUGGGCGUCGACCGGCGCACGGGUGAGUAACGCGUAUCCAACCUGCCCACCACUUGGGGAUAACCUUGCGAAAGUAAGACUAAUACCCAAUGAUAUCUCUAGAAGACAUCUGAAAGAGAUUAAAGAUUUAUCGGUGAUGGAUGGGGAUGCGUCUGAUUAGCUUGUUGGCGGGGUAACGGCCCACCAAGGCAACGAUCAGUAGGGGUUCUGAGAGGAAGGUCCCCCACAUUGGAACUGAGACACGGUCCAAACUCCUACGGGAGGCAGCAGUGAGGAAUAUUGGUCAAUGGGCGAGAGCCUGAACCAGCCAAGUAGCGUGCAGGAUGACGGCCCUAUGGGUUGUAAACUGCUUUUAUAAGGGAAUAAAGUGAGUCUCGUGAGACUUUUUGCAUGUACCUUAUGAAUAAGGACCGGCUAAUUCCGUGCCAGCAGCCGCGGUAAUACGGAAGGUCCGGGCGUUAUCCGGAUUUAUUGGGUUUAAAGGGAGCGUAGGCCGGAGAUUAAGCGUGUUGUGAAAUGUAGACGCUCAACGUCUGCACUGCAGCGCGAACUGGUUUCCUUGAGUACGCACAAAGUGGGCGGAAUUCGUGGUGUAGCGGUGAAAUGCUUAGAUAUCACGAAGAACUCCGAUUGCGAAGGCAGCUCACUGGAGCGCAACUGACGCUGAAGCUCGAAAGUGCGGGUAUCGAACAGGAUUAGAUACCCUGGUAGUCCGCACGGUAAACGAUGGAUGCCCGCUGUUGGUCUGAAUAGGUCAGCGGCC